rnacentral:rRNA from 1 species
AGCGAACAGAUAAGGAGCUUGCUCCUUUGACGUUAGCGGCGGACGGGUGAGUAACACGUGGGUAACCUACCUAUAAGACUGGGAUAACUUCGGGAAACCGGAGCUAAUACCGGAUAACAUUUGGAACCGCAUGGUUCUAAAGUGAAAGAUGGUUUUGCUAUCACUUAUAGAUGGACCCGCGCCGUAUUAGCUAGUUGGUAAGGUAACGGCUUACCAAGGCGACGAUACGUAGCCGACCUGAGAGGGUGAUCGGCCACACUGGAACUGAGACACGGUCCAGACUCCUACGGGAGGCAGCAGUAGGGAAUCUUCCGCAAUGGGCGAAAGCCUGACGGAGCAACGCCGCGUGAGUGAUGAAGGGUUUCGGCUCGUAAAACUCUGUUAUUAGGGAAGAACAAACGUGUAAGUAACUGUGCACGUCUUGACGGUACCUAAUCAGAAAGCCACGGCUAACUACGUGCCAGCAGCCGCGGUAAUACGUAGGUGGCAAGCGUUAUCCGGAAUUAUUGGGCGUAAAGCGCGCGUAGGCGGUUUCUUAAGUCUGAUGUGAAAGCCCACGGCUCAACCGUGGAGGGUCAUUGGAAACUGGGAAACUUGAGUGCAGAAGAGGAAAGUGGAAUUCCAUGUGUAGCGGUGAAAUGCGCAGAGAUAUGGAGGAACACCAGUGGCGAAGGCGACUUUCUGGUCUGUAACUGACGCUGAUGUGCGAAAGCGUGGGGAUCAAACAGGAUUAGAUACCCUGGUAGUCCACGCCGUAAACGAUGAGUGCUAAGUGUUAGGGGGUUUCCGCCCCUUAGUGCUGCAGCUAACGCAUUAAGCACUCCGCCUGGGGAGUACGACCGCAAGGUUGAAACUCAAAGGAAUUGACGGGGACCCGCACAAGCGGUGGAGCAUGUGGUUUAAUUCGAAGCAACGCGAAGAACCUUACCAAAUCUUGACAUCCUUUGAAAACUCUAGAGAUAGAGCCUUCCCCUUCGGGGGACAAAGUGACAGGUGGUGCAUGGUUGUCGUCAGCUCGUGUCGUGAGAUGUUGGGUUAAGUCCCGCAACGAGCGCAACCCUUAAGCUUAGUUGCCAUCAUUAAGUUGGGCACUCUAGGUUGACUGCCGGUGACAAACCGGAGGAAGGUGGGGAUGACGUCAAAUCAUCAUGCCCCUUAUGAUUUGGGCUACACACGUGCUACAAUGGACAAUACAAAGGGCAGCUAAACCGCGAGGUCAUGCAAAUCCCAUAAAGUUGUUCUCAGUUCGGAUUGUAGUCUGCAACUCGACUACAUGAAGCUGGAAUCGCUAGUAAUCGUAGAUCAGCAUGCUACGGUGAAUACGUUCCCGGGUCUUGUACACACCGCCCGUCACACCACGAGAGUUUGUAACACCCGAAGCCGGUGGAGUAAC